UACGUAGGGCGCAAGCGUUAAUCGGAAUUACUGGGCGUAAAGCGUGCGCAGGCGGUUUGCUAAGAGAGAUGUGAAAUCCCCGAGCUUAACUUGGGAACUGCGCUUGUAACUGGCAAGCUAGAGUGUGGCAGAGGGGGGUGGAAUUCCACGUGUAGCAGUGAAAUGCGUAGAGAUGUGGAGGAACACCGAUGGCGAAGGCAGCCCCCUGGGCUAACACUGACGCUCAUGCACGAAAGCGUGGGGAGCAAACAGG
rnacentral:rRNA from 1 species